UUAAAGAGAACAAAUGUUCUCUGCACCGUUCAGUACUGAGGCACUCGAUCGGUCUCCGAUCCUAGCCCAUUCUCCGAUGACGACAAAGAGGGCCAGAAUCUCACCGCCAGGUACGUCUUUUCUUUCCUUUUAUUGUUUCUCUCCUUAACCAACGAUUAAUAAACGCAAAAAUAAGAAAAAGAAAGAAAAGUAAUAACCAGCCAAAAUGAAAGAGAAAAAGGAACCCAGAAAAUCACCUCUGAGUAUUUUGAUUUUUUUUAUAUUCUGAAUGCAUGUGUGUCACCGAUUACAAAGGUUUCGCCUUUUGUUUUAUAGGCUGAAAAAAUAAACAAAAAUAACAAAAAUGAAAAUACAAAUUUUCCUUUCUGCUGCGUUGUUUGCUCUAUUUGCAGGUACGACGUACGGAGUCGGGGACGUGGCGUGUACGGAGGCCAGCUGGAGGCGCGUGGUGGUGCUACGUGCGUGGGGAGUGGCUCGGUAGCGGCGCAUCAGCCAUUAGGGUUUUCCGGCUUUUGUUUCUAUGUUGGGUUUUGGGUUUCUGUAAUCGGGCCAGGGUUCAGGCCUUUUUGGGCCAAUUGGUUUGUAAUCUGGGCUGGACUGUGUAAAUGGACUUUGCCCUUUUAUUGAAUUUGAUUUUAUUUAUUUAUUUAGUUAAUAAUUUUUUUUGACAUGUAUGUGAGCCGGGCUAAAAUGGUCUGCUACAAUAGGUACCAAAUUAAAAAAAAAA
rnacentral:lncRNA from 1 species